CCCGGAAACAGGAAUUACAUAGGAUCAUUCAAUUGGGGAUAAAAUACAGCAUGUCUGAAAAAACACGAUGAAAUGCAAAUGCCAUAAGACGCAACUCUGAACGCUCAUGAGCAGAAGGGAAUCGUCAAAAUGUUUUAGAGAGAUGGCUAUGGGACGCUUUCUGCAGCUGAAGGUUAAACACGCUGUUAUUGGUUUUCCCCUAAAUAUGCCAGAUCAUUAGAUCAUUAGCUCCCCCACGGAAGCACCCGCCAUCUGGAGCUGCGAAUAGAGACAUCACUCACGCAGGAAUGCAUGAAAUUGAGGCGCCUGUCUCUCUCUUUCUCCUUCUAUCUGCCGUGCGGAGCAUUUCAUGCACAAGGAGAUUGGAGAGAAGGGACAUUACUCAUGAACUGUUAUUCCUCAUCACAUCAACUCAAGACAGCUCCACCAUUCUCUUACACAACCAUUGCCAGAGGGCUGAGAGGGUGAUUUAAAUCCCCCCUCAAACUCAGACAAACUUGCAGAGAAGUUACAAUGGAUUAUGGAAGAGUUAGCAGGGAAAUCUGGGAAUGUAAUAGGCAGGGUUCAGUGUAAGAUUCUUUCAAACAGCAUUUAUUUCCUUUAUUCUCAUAAUCACUAAUUUCUAAAAUUAAACCCUUUGGGAAGAAUGGAGUGGGUUAACAGACACCCUUGCUACCAGGUCCUGUUAUAUACACUGCACGUCAUAUUUUCUCUUCAUAGUGAGGAGCUAACUGAACGUUAACACUUUCUCACUGAAACAUUCUAACUCACUGGAAAAUGCACAAUCAUUUGGUGCAUUGAAAACGUCUAUAACAGGCCUGGACUGGGAUUCAAAAUAGGACCUGGCAUUUCAAGAACACAGAGGUCCAAACAGUCCCCACCAGCUCAAUGAAUAGAGAAUAGUCUAACUAUGGCAACAGGCCUGGAUAUUAACUAUUAGCAUUUUCAUGCAGCAUCAACUUUAUUUUAUUCUCUACUAAGCUUUAGGCAGGAAAAGGGGUGAAGUGUUGGUCUCUGCCCUUGUCUUCUAUAUAUCCAUAUUCUUGAAGUGCAAGGCUAGAGCCCAAAUGAACACUAUGGGGCUGAUUUACUAACCCACGAAUCCGACCCGAAUUGGAAAAGUUCCGACUUGAAAACGAACAU